rnacentral:misc_RNA from 1 species
AAGUCGUAACAAGGUUUCCGUAGGUGAACCUGCGGAAGGAUCAUUAAAAAAUCUUUAUCCGGGAAUUCUUUUCGUUUUCCCGGAUUAUUUGUAUUCAAAUCCCACUCUUUAUAAAUAUAUUAAUUAUAUAAAACAAAAAAAUAAAAAAUAAAACUUUCAACAACGGAUCUCUUGGCUCUC